AGUAGGCCGACGCAGCCCAUCGCCAAUGAGUGCAUGUCUGGGGCGGAGCAUGCCUGACAUGAGAGAGAAAGAGAGAGAUAGAUGGAUAGAGAGUGCGAGAGGGGGGCAGGGGGGAAGGAGAGACAGAAAGAGAGUAGAUGCCAAGAAACAAUGCUGCGUACGAUUUAACGCGAUAGUUUUUCUCAAGUAUUUACACCACGUACUACUGAGACUUAGAGAACAAAUCAAAUAAAUACUUUUGGAAAGAAUUGUCAAUGAGCAGAAAAAUACAUUCGUUCUUACGAUCGAACUGAGUUAUAGUUGAAGAUUACGAAGAGUAGUAGUAGGAAGAUGAGCAGUGAAGUGGGAGGCGUGAGACGACGGACAUAAACGUGACCUAGUUACACUAUUGACCUGUUGACGAUGGUUGAUAAUAGACGAAGGAUUGAAAGUGGUGGCCGCGGGAGGAAGAGAAAGUAGGUGCUGAGAGGAAUGGUGGUAAAAGAGAAAGAAGGUAUGAGAGAGAUCGAGAGAGAUGGCGACCGAUAGUGAUGCUUCGAGCGGGAUGCACUUGACGCAUCAGAGUACAAAGUGAGAAUGAAAGAGAGAGAGAGAGAGAGAGAGAGAGAGAGAGAGAGAGAGAGAGAGAGAGAGUGCCGCAUGCAGUCCCAGCGCGCGCAGCCUAUCGUCCUACCAUGCGCGCGCGCGCGCACAUACAUACGCCAUGGCGUAGGACGACCUUCUCUCUCUGACCGAACCAAGAAUUCAUCUAUACUUUCAGACACCUUCCUUUCGAAACUGAUUACUCUAUCCUACAAACAUACUCGCACAUCGAUACACUAUCUUUCUUUCCAUUUUAAUAAUUGUAAUUGAUCAUUUCUUAGCAACGUUAUCUCUCGAUUGACACGUCUUAAUUUAAAAAAGCAAAUACGCUAUUUGGGCCAAGAUUCUAAAUCGGUGGACGUAAGUGAAGGCGCUAUUCGUCAAAUUUUAUAUCUCGAUUUGACAAGUCCCUUUCUUAAUUCCCAACAAAUGCGGUGAGACAAAGAGAAAAAAGGAAUAAAAUAAAAAGUAAAGAGAGAAAUUCCGAUGGGGACCGGAGAGGGGGGACAAAACGACAAGGUAGUCACAUCGAGAGGAUGGAAAGAAGGCGAGAUGGUGGCGAAUCGUCAGAGAUAUAUGAUGGAGGAGAAAAUAUUGAAAGAGUGACGAGGAAGAAGAAGAAGACGAGUGAAAGAGUAGGUGGAAGAAAAAGAGGAAGUGAAGAAGAGGAUGGCAGGACUUCUCAAUGGAGUAAGGGAUAAAAAGCAAAUACGUUUCACUCACUCGCGUUUUCCGUUAGCAAAUUCAAUCUCGUCGGGACUCCCUUUAACAUUGUGCUCGUAAUAGGGAGGAUGAAGAAGGGCCAAAGGAGAGGUUGAAGAGCGAGGAGUGAAACACGAGAAAGAGAGAGAGAGAGAGAAAGGAAAAGUGUGCAAGGGGGCAGGUGUCGCCCGUAUAACGACUUUAUCACACCCUUGGAACCCACCCCUACCGUUAUCCCGCAUUCUCUCUCUCUCUCUCUCUCUCUCUCUCUCCUCCAAUUUUUUCUCUUCCUUUUCUUUCUCGCUUUCUCAACCUUCUUCACUUUCUUAACUCGGCACACCACUCACACUUCAGCGUCGACUAUUAUCGACUUUGACCGAGCUCAAAGUCGGUUCACCUUUAAGCUAGCCAACUGUAGUCAGUCAGAGUUAGAGAGUGGAUAAUGCGAUAUCUACUCUUCAGCGAGAGAUAUCAAUAAAAUUGGACAGUUGAAAGCAUCCUCCGAAAGUCUCCAAUUUUUGGAAUUUCGAUUCAAUAUGUGUUUCUAUUUUCCUGAUAUAUUCUGAAGGAAAAAUAUAAAAUUUCUUUACGUCUCCACGAUUAAUCGUUAGAAAUCAACGAAACAGAAUUUACACGAUAAUUAACGGGACCUCUUUUACUUAAAAAAGAUAAUUUUAUCGGUACAAACUUUCGAUUGCAUUGUCUAAUUACAACAAGAAAGUGGAGACCGUCUCAUUAAAAGUACAGGACGAAAGUCUUUGUAAUUUAAAAAAGAAUCUUACUUCGACGCGCUCAAUUAAUAAAAAUCUGUCAAGUCAGGGCUGGUCAAGAUCCAUGUAAAAAAAAAAAAAUAAGAAUGUAAGAGGAAGUAUAGAUAGGAAGAGAGAGAAAGGGGGAGAGGGAGAGGAAGGGAGGGAGGGAGGUAGUGAGAGCGAUAGGGAAGGAAAGAAGAAAAAAGAAAGAGAGGCAAAGACUGAGAGGAAAAAUAAGCGCAAAAAGGAAAAAGAGCAAAGGAAAAAGUCUUCAGUCGGACGGACCACCAGGCUCGUUAAAACUUGCCUUAUUAACAUUUUUCAUACGCGGAUGCCUCCCGGAAUGUUGAGAAGUUUAUUUAAGUGGGCAGACGAAGGUUGCGCCAACUUAAGCCUUAGAUUCAGAGCCAAGUUACGAAAGUUCGUGUAUACUGGCGAUUUUACGGAUAAUGAAAUUAUAUCUAUUACUAAAUUAAGCUUAACGAUCCUUGCCAUUGUAAAAUUUAUCGAUUUUUUCCACAGCAUCGUUUAGCUUAAUCAAUCUCUGAUAAUGACAAUAAAAAAAAAAGAAAAUCAAAAUGUCGACUUCCAGCUUUUUAGGGAUAGCAUUGAAACGCAACUAGAAUGGUUUAUGACCAGAGGAUGGAAUUUCGAAAUCAAGCAUUAGCGCGAGUCUUCGGUGUAUUAAGCGGACCUAACUUGAGCGUGUUAAACAAGUACGUCCAUUAAUCAGGCGAAACUCACAAGUAACUUGACCUAUGCGACACUGAUGCCAUAGGACGGGUUUCCGACGGAGGCUGGAACAGUGUCUCCUUCGCUAUCGUCUGCCUUCCCUUUCUCUUCUUACCCGGUAUCACCUCAUAGAGGGUCCAUUUGUUAUGCCCAGGUGACACUCAAUUAUGUUCCGCAAAAGGGUUGCGAGACUCUCGAGAAAGGCAGCAGCUAACUAGCCCAGAAACUUUCUCCGAACAACAUAGUCACACACUUACUGAGAGUUGUACAACCAAGAAAGAAAGUGCAUCAAAUUGCAAGGAGACCUGAGGGAGAAAAGGAUUUACUUCGCCGUUAUAUUAAAAUAUUUUGUUGGAAACAUCGCCAUCGAAAUGUGAAACUAAAAUAAUUGUUUUGCAGUUCUUAUACCAUAAAAGAUUUUUAAUGAUCAAAGAUUCGAAAGAUUCCAUCGAUUAAAAUUUGGUAUACGGUUGAAUCAAGAGAUACAUCGAGAAGGAGAACGAUCGAAGAUUCCAAAAUUAAACUCGAGGGAAGCAUUGAAUUUUUAUCACUUUAUCGAAAACAUAUCGUUAUACGAUAUAAAAUUCUGACUAAUAUAUAAUAUUUACGUAUGUAAAGCGUCCCGGCUGAAUCAUUUUAGAGUCGUCUUCAAUUAAUACCUAAAAUAAAAUCACUCGUUUCUAAGAAAAAAAGAGAACCAAUCACUGAUGAACGACGAGUGCUGGAAGAAGGACGGGCAAUAGAGAGGAGAAAUAGUGUAUGUGAGUGUGUGCGCGCGAGAGAGAGAGAGAGAGAGAAAGAGUGGGAUGAGGGAAUUCGAUGGAAAGAGGAACGUCGAGUGGUUCCCAGAGCCAGUAUUUGCUCGUUCGCGUUUAAUAUCGAAAUCGUUGAAUCAUACGCGGAUGUAACGAAAUGCUCGAAUUAUUUGUGAGAGUGACGAAAACGUGGGAUGAGUGUGCUGGGCAGCGAACCAUUUUCACUGGACUCACAGCGCUACCCACGGUUUAUUCUCAAUCAUUACGCUUGUUGCCGUAGUCGUACCUUUUACAUGAAUGAUUACAUACAAUUAAACGUGUGAUUAGUUACUUACUAUUCAGUAGACAUUCUGCUGUAAAUAUAUCCUUUUUAUUUUCAUCUUUAAUGUUCCGAUUCACUUAUUUAGAUUAUUACGAAGGUAAAAUUUAUUAUCGAACUUACGAUUCGAGGAUAGUCUCGACGACCGUAAGUGGAUCUUCGCGUAAAAAGAAAUCCACGUUUCUUCCUUCUCCGUUAGAUUCUUACACACAACGUAAAGAUAGAAUGAAAUAUGUGAAAUACUUUUUUAAUGACUUUCCCGAUUCCUCGUACGCGCCGCUUUCGAUCCCGGCACAAAUAGACGUAUAACGAGCUCAAAUGCUUUCGUGAUUUGUUUCGCAAAUUUGAUAAAUGUAUACGAAGGCAAAGAGAUGUAGAACCGGAUAUAAAUACAUAAACGAGAAUGUUUCGGUGAGUAGCAGAGGGACUGGAAGAGGUAUAGAGGGGUAGUAUUACGGGGAAAAUAUCCCGCUAACGGUUUGACGAGAGCCACGGGGUACAGGGCGCGGUGGUAGAAGGGGAGAGCUGCGCAGGAUGGAUGUAAUUAAAGUGGUGACACGCUAGCCGUGGGGUAUGUCUACCCCAAUCCAAAUCCUGCGAAACCCCCGAAUCCCUGUCCCUCAAGAUAAUUCGGACACCGUGUAAUCGAUACGUCCUCCAGGCUGAUGUACAGGCAAUUUCAAAACGGAUAAUUCUCGGUCUAUUAUUUGGUACUCCCAUCGCAUCUCCGCUGUAUAUAAAAUCUUCCCUCAUAUUUCAAUUCUCCCCUUCGAUGAAGAAGCGCUCUUUUAAGAUGCUUCUUUUCUUGUCAUUUGUUAACGCUCUUCGAGCAAGCGAGUAAAAGUGACAAUUCAGUUACAUAACGAACUACGAAAAGAAUAUAACUUCGCUGACAUUGACUGUGUCAGUGUUUUGACAGCUAAAGCUAACAAGUGACAACAAUUCAAUGCCAAAUUCAAAAUUAUAUACUUAUAGUCGAACGUUGCAUCACCACUUGCCGACACGUCCGAUUCACCAUAAAUUCAGUCCUACAGUUUACGGAUGUCUCAAAGUUUCAGAUUACGGUAUUACAAGUUUCGUGGGUGGGUGGAAAGUACUGCCUCGUAGUUGGAUCUCAUAGGUCAUCUUACCGCAAAAGCCAUAUCUACCGACCUGGCUAUAUAUAAACUUUGAGAGGGCAUCAUUCGAUGUACAUUCGAUCACAAUGGACAUAAUAAGAUUCUGCGAAUCGAAAACACGAAUGUAUUAAAUUCGUGUUUGUACUAUGCGCCUACGUAAGUUUUAAAACAAUGAACAUUGAACACAUUCCUUUGCAACAAAUCGAUGAAACUUGCGUCAAUGUGCGAAGAAUUUCAUCAGAAAUAUUGAUAUAUAAGCGUUAUAUAUUUAAUGAUAACUUUCAACUCUCGCUGUCAAAAUCGUUUUUAACGUCGUAACAUCGUACUAUAAAAUAUAUUACCGUUUACGUCGA